ensembl:snoRNA SNORA72 Small nucleolar RNA SNORA72
UUGGGAGAGGAAGGAAGUUGGUAAAGGGCUUCCAAACCUUCCCUGUAUUAAGACCACAUAUUGGUCCCCAGACCUAGUUCUUUAGCUAGGUGUGGUUUUACAAAUACUGGUGAUAAAU